rnacentral:sRNA from 12 species
AAGCGUUGAAGUAAGGUGUUGUGCCAGAAAGCAGUGCCUUACGGAGCUUUAUAAGGGUUCUGUAUUUACCACACACUGGCUAGGAGGAAGCUUCCGAAAAGAAAAUGCUGCGA